GAAGGCCCAAACAUACGCUAUGGCCCAACCGAGCCUAAAUGGAGUGUGGCCCCUUUUCCACCUCCCUCUCCUACUCGAUCCCUCGCCACUGCUGCGGCGAUAUUGGCGACGCUCGGGCAGACAGGCGAUCUUCGCAACGCUUAGACUCCGGCAGCGCUCUCCAAGGCCUGAAAGUUGGUAGCUGAUAAGGGACCAUUUGAUCGGCCAUUGAUGCGACCGUAGGCCCGCAAGGGAUUGUCAGCUUUGAGCGAUGGGUGUAUCAUUAUGAUUUUAUCCUUUCGGAUAAGCAUGGGAGCUCCAAAAGACAUCUCUGAGGGUAAAAAAGAUCCAACCUGUGUAAUUGAUGAUGUUGGACUUUGGAUUAUCAAAGGGCUUAGAUGUGGCUACAUAUUAGUCGCAGGAGGCUGGUGAUUUAACUUGAAAGCAAUGGUUGUUACAUUCCACAAUCCCAGUGCAGCUUCUAGCCUCGGGAAACUUAAUGAUUGCCUUCUUACACCCGCAGUUAUAUGAAGGGUAAGGUUUUUGGAUGCUUUGUUAAGUACGGAAUAAUGCUGGUGCUUUAACUAUGGCAUCUCAUCUUUGAAUGGAUUUUCUUAAGUUAUCAAGCUUCAAAGGAUGGCAUUGCUAUGUACAUCGAGCGCACUAGAUGCAGCUCCAUCGUCGGAUCAUAUCAGUGUAGCUAGGUGGCACUAGAUGCUAUGUACAACAAUCACAUUGAUCCUCUGUUUAAGUUGUGGUAUGUGCUUGAACUUGGUUUAGUUUAUUUGAACACAGGAGUCAUACGGGUCAUGCUGUUUGACCUGUAUGAUCUGAUAGUAGUGGCAUCUCUGAGGAAGACAAGGCUGCGAAAAUUAAGACAUCUACUACUGCGACUGAGGAGGCCUCGUCCUUUGCUGCUGUUAUUGACAAGUUACAAAUUCAAGCCUGAGCAGCUGAGGAAGAUGUGAUGUGGAUUUGUUUGGAGGCAGCUGAAGAGCGUGGAUCAUCGGCAAAGAAGAAAGGUGAGUUUGAUACAUGUGUUUUGAGUAUUUCAUUCUAUAGUUGUUGAUCGGGUCUCUGUGUUUCAGGAUAUGUAUCCUAAUCAACAACAAUGUUUGUAAUCUUCUAGUUGUACGAACAUGGUUACGUACCUACGCUCUUUCAGUUGUUUUAUUGUCAUCACAAACUUGACAUUCUUAUGGA